UACGAAGGGGGCUAGCGUUGUUCGGAAUUACUGGGCGUAAAGGGCUCGUAGGCGGCCAACUAAGUCCGACGUGAAAUCCCCAGGCUUAACCUGGGAACUGCGUCGGAUACUGGAUGGCUUGAAUCCGGGAGAGGGAUGCGGAAUUCCAGGUGUAGCGGUGAAAUGCGUAGAUAUCUGGAGGAACACCGGUGGCGAAGGCGGCAUCCUGGACCGGCAUUGACGCUGAGGAGCGAAAGCCAGGGGAGCAAACGGG
rnacentral:rRNA from 1 species